GGGCUUGUAGUCUAACGGCCAGGAUGCAUCGUUUACAUCGAUGAGAAGGAGGUUCGAUUCCUCCCAGGCCCA
rnacentral:tRNA from 1 species